rnacentral:rRNA from 1 species
UACGUAGGGUGCUAGCGUUGUCCGGAUUUAUUGGGCGUAAAGAGCUCGUAGGCGGUGUGUCACGUCGGCCGUGAAAACCUGCAGCUUAACUGUGGGCGUGCGGUCGAUACGGGCAAUCACUGGAGUUCGGCAGGGGAGACUGGAAUUCCUGGUGUAGCGGUGAAAUGCGCAGAUAUCAGGAGGAACACCGGUGGCGAAGGCGGGUCUCUGGGCCGAUACUGACGCUGAGGAGCGAAAGCGUGGGGAGCAAACAGG